rnacentral:rRNA from 1 species
CCUACGGGAGGCAGCAGUAGGGAAUAUUGCUCAAUGGGGGAAACCCUGAAGCAGCAACGCCGCGUGGAGGAUGAAGUUUUUCGGAUUGUAAACUCCUUUUGUUAGAGAAGAUAAUGACGGUAUCUAACGAAUAAGCACCGGCUAACUCCGUGCCAGCAGCCGCGGUAAUACGGAGGGUGCAAGCGUUACUCGGAUUCACUGGGCGUAAAGAGCGCGUAGGCGGGAUAGCAAGUCAGAGGUGAAAUCCUAUGGCUUAACCAUAGAACUGCUUUUGAAACUGUUAUUCUAGAGUAUGGGAGGGGUAGGUGGAAUGCUUGGUGUAGGGGUAAAAUGCGUAGAGAUCAAGAGGAAUACUCAUUGCGAAGGCGACCUGCUAGAACAUAACUGACGUUGAUGCGCGAAAGCGUGGGGAGCAAACAGGAUUAGAUACCCGAGUAGUC